GGAGAGGUGCUCGAGUGGUUGAAGAGGCUACCCUGGAAAGGUAGUAUACCCGCAAGGGUAUCGUGGGUUCGAAUCCCACCUUCUCCGCAA
rnacentral:tRNA from 1 species